rnacentral:rRNA from 1 species
GAUGAACGCUGGCGGCGUGCCUAAUACAUGCAAGUCGAGCGAACGGACGAGAAGCUUGCUCUCUGAUGUUAGCGGCGGACGGGUGAGUAACACGUGGAUAACCUACCUAUAAGACUGGGAUAACUUCGGGAAACCGGAGCUAAUACCGGAUAAUAUUUUGAACCGCAUGGUUCAAAAGUGAAAGACGGUCUUGCUGUCACUUAUAGAUGGAUCCGCGCUGCAUUAGCUAGUUGGUAAGGUAACGGCUUACCAAGGCAACGAUGCAUAGCCGACCUGAGAGGGUGAUCGGCCACACUGGAACUGAGACACGGUCCAGACUCCUACGGGAGGCAGCAGUAGGGAAUCUUCCGCAAUGGGCGAAAGCCUGACGGAGCAACGCCGCGUGAGUGAUGAAGGUCUUCGGAUCGUAAAACUCUGUUAUUAGGGAAGAACAUAUGUGUAAGUAACUGUGCACAUCUUGACGGUACCUAAUCAGAAAGCCACGGCUAACUACGUG